UCAGAUGCUCCCAUCAUGUUUUGUCUCUAUAAUGUUUGCUGCAAAUCUGGUGAAGGUGCUUUCAUAUCCUAUGAUAUUGCACCAUAAUAUGUUCUGCUUAAGAAAAUUCUGCUCAUUUCAUGUAAAAAAAAAUUCCAAGUAUGCUGUAAAUGUUACUACCCAACUGUGCAUAUGUGCACAGGCUCCAACCACUGGUGAAUUGGCUUUUGAGAAAAGAUCCUGUGACCCACAAGUGUUGCAGAACCACAAGUGAUGGGCUGAUCACUGCAAGCAAGGACUCGUCUGCUGUGCACUUUCAAAACCUCUAUGACUAAAGUCUUCUAAGUCAUACUGGUAGCUGCGUUAUACGCAGGGAAAUGCAGGAAACAGGUUCACAGGUUAAAAGUGAAGAUGGGCAAGAGGCGUUGGAGGUCUGAGGAAAAUGGAGAGAAUGGAAGAGUCAUGCAGGACAUUGGAAUGAGUAGACCGUGG